rnacentral:rRNA from 1 species
GCACAAGCGGUGGAGCAUGUGGUUAAUUCGAAGCAACGCGAAGAACCUUACCAGGCCUUGACAUGCAGAGAACUUUCCAGAGAUGGAUUGGUGCCUUCGGGAACUCUGACACGGGUGCUGCAUGGCUGUCGUCAGCUCGUGUCGUGAGAUGUUGGGUUAAGUCCCGCAACGAGCGCAACCCUUGCCUUUAGUUGCCAGCAGUUCGGCUGGGCACUCUAAAGGGACUGCCGGUGUUAAACCGGAGGAAGGUGGGGAUGACGUCAAGUCCUCAUGGCCUUUAUGACCAGGGCUACACACGUACUACAAUGGCCGAUACAAAGGGCAGCGACACUGCGAGGUGAAGCCAAUCCCGUAAAAUCGGUCUCAGUCCGGAUUGGAGUCUGCAACUCGACUCCAUGAAGUUGGAAUCGCUAGUAAUCGUGGAUCAGCAUGCCACGGUGAAUACGUUCCCGGGCCUU